UACGUAGGGGGGCAAGCGUUGUCCGGAAUCAUUGGGCGUAAAGCGCGUGUAGGCGGCCCGAUAAGUCCGCUGUGAAAGUCCAGGGCUCAACCCUGGGAUGCCGGUGGAUACUGUCGGGCUCGAGUCCGGAAGAGGAGUGUGGGAAUUCCUGGUGUAGCGGUGAAAUGCGCAGAUAUCAGGAGGAACACCAAUGGCGAAGGCAGCACUCUGGGACGUGACUGACGCUGAGACGCGAAAGCGUGGGGAGCAAACAGG
rnacentral:rRNA from 1 species